rnacentral:rRNA from 1 species
UACGUAGGGGGCUAGCGUUGUCCGGAAUUACUGGGCGUAAAGCGCGCGCAGGCGGUUUCUCAAGUCAGUGGUGAAAGCCCGGAGCUCAACUCCGGAACUGCCAUUGAAACUGUGAAACUUGAGGACGAGAGAGGUGAGUGGAAUUCCCAGUGUAGAGGUGAAAUUCGUAGAUAUUGGGAAGAACACCGGUGGCGAAGGCGGCUCACUGGCUCGUUUCUGACGCUCAGGCGCGACAGCGUGGGGAUCGAAACAGG